CCAUGCAUAUUCCAAUAGCGGAGGAAAAGAAACUAACAAGGAUUCCCCUAGUAGCGGCGAGCGAAAAGCGGGAAGAGCUCAAAUUUAUAAUCUGGCACCUUCGGUGUCCGAGUUGUAAUCUCUAGAAAUGUUUUCCGCGUUGGACCGCACACAAGUCUGUUGGAAUACAGCGGCAUAGUGGUGAGACCCCCGUAUAUGGUGCGGACGCCCAGCGCUUUGUGAUACAUUUUCGAAGAGUCGAGUUGUUUGGGAAUGCAGCUCAAAUUGGGUGGUAAAUUCCAUCUAAAGCUAAAUAUUGGCGAGAGACCGAUAGCGAACAAGUACCGUGAGGGAAAGAUGAAAAGCACUUUGGAAAGAGAGUUAACAGUACGUGAAAUUGUUGGAAGGGAAACGCUUGAAGUCAGACUUGCUUGCCGAGCAAUCGGUUUGCAGGCCAGCAUCAGUUUUCCGGGAUGGAUAAUGGUAGAGAGAAGGUAGCAGUUUCGGCUGUGUUAUAGCUCUCUGCUGGAUACAUCUUGGGGGACUGAGGAACGCAGUGUGCCUUUGGCGGGGGUUUCGACCUCUUCACACUUAGGAUGCUGGUGGAAUGGCUUUAAAGAAACACCCCUGUACACA
rnacentral:rRNA from 1 species